CAGGAGGCUCUAUGAGCAGGGUGACCACCGCUUUGACACGAGAGAGGAAGCAGAUUACAUAAAGUACGUCCUUCAUUCAUGAGGAGAAAUACCUGCUGAAAAUCCAAAGAGGAAAACGACAUAGACAAAAAGAAAACGCAGGAUAUCGCUGAGGAUCAUCUACGAAGAAGAAAAGAGACACAAGGCUUCAGGGAUCAGGUUGUUCACUGUGAUGUUCACUGUGGUGCUGAGUGACCUGUGUGGAAUACCUUCUGUAUCAUGAUGCUGUAGAUGCCCAUGUGUAUGUCGCCCCUGGAGUAGUAGAGCAGGUUCACCCAGCUGAGAGCAAGACAAAGUACCAGGAAGCCGAGAUACUCCUGCUGCCCACACAGAUACAGCCCGGCUGAGACCAGGAAGAGGACGCCCUGCACAAAA